ACUGUAAUGCACAUGUUUUUUUAUUUUGUUUUGUUUUAUACAGGUCACUGAAACCGUGGCAGACAUAGAGGGGCAGGAGAGAUUGCCUGACACACCCAGACUCAUUAUGGUUGGACCCUCGCUCAUGACAGCAAAAAGAUGGAUGGUGUCCAUUGAAGGAAGAGUUGCUAUUACAUUCACUGGAUCAGACAGUUUUCCUGCUGCUUUCGCCACUCUUUUUGCAUCGUAUUACGUCUUAAACAUGGAAUACCAAGAGUCAGCUGCAUGCACUUUGGAGCUUGUUCAGAGAUUUCUGGUGAGAAUUAAUCCGGAAGAUGGAAAGAAAUGCACAGCCCGACAGGGAGUGAGCAAGAAGACCGGACGAAUUGUCCAGAAAAAAGCACCACCCAUCAACUCCCACGUUAAUAACUUCUUCAUUUGCUCCUUGCUGGACUUAAAAUGGCAGACCUCUAACUAAGCAGUUACAUCUAACAGGUUUUGUGUGUGUGUGUGUG